AAGGUGAGUUGCUUUAACUUAAGCAUUUACUGAGUGUUGGGGUGCUACAAACACAUUACAUAAUAAACAUGUUCAAGGAAAGAGACUCAAACUAAAUAAACAAAACAAUGUUAGGAAGAUUACAAUUGUAUCCAUCAACAUAAUUCAGGUUUAAAGUGGUUAUCAGUUGAACAGGUUGACGAAUCCUGACCUGAGAGUUUCCAGUUUACAGUGUGGACUCUUCAGUCCAACAGAAAGCAGCUUCAGUCCUGAAUCCUGCAGGUUGUUGUUACUCAGGUCCAGCUCUCUCAGAUGGGAGGGGUUGGAGCUCAGAGCUGAGACCAGAGAAGCACAACCUUCCUCUGUGAUCAGACAGCCUGAUAGCCUG